rnacentral:rRNA from 1 species
CGAAGCAACGCGAAGAACCUUACCAGGUCUUGACAUCCCGAUGCUAUUCUAGAGAUAGAAAGUUACUUCGGUACAUCGGUGACAGGUGGUGCAUGGUUGUCGUCAGCUCGUGUCGUGAGAUGUUGGGUUAAGUCCCGCAACGAGCGCAACCCCUAUUGUUAGUUGCCAUCAUUCAGUUGGGCACUCUAGCGAGACUGCCGGUAAUAAACCGGAGGAAGGUGGGGAUGACGUCAAAUCAUCAUGCCCCUUAUGACCUGGGCUACACACGUGCUACAAUGGUUGGUACAACGAGUUGCGAGUCGGUGACGGCGAGCUAAUCUCUUAAAGCCAAUCUCAGUUCGGAUUGUAGGCUGCAACUCGCCUACAUGAAGUCGGAAUCGCUAGUAAUCGCGGAUCAGCACGCCGCGGUGAAUACGUUCCCGGGCCUU